AAAGCCCAACUUGAGAAUCGGACGGCCGCGCCGUUCGAAUUGUAGUCUGGAGAAGCGUCCUCAGCGGCGGACCGAGCCCAAGUCCCCUGGAAAGGGGCGCCGGAGAGGGUGAGAGCCCCGUUGUGCUCGGACCCUGUCGCACCACGAGGCGCUGUCGGCGAGUCGGGUUGUUUGGGAAUGCAGCCCCAAUCGGGCGGUAAAUUCCGUCCAAGGCUAAAUACGGGCGAGAGACCGAUAGCGAA
rnacentral:rRNA from 1 species